AGUAAUUAGUCGAGGCGCCAAUUCAAAUCAGCUGCCGGCGUGCUGUUGCUAGAUGAUUGCUGAGCGCCACACUUUAGCACAAAGACUGCGCCUCGAGGCGAGCGACAAACAAAUGCACUCGUUCAACUGAAUGAGGAAUGUUGGCACAAGGGCAGAUUGAGGAAGUCCAAGCAGUCAGUCUCAAACGAAAGUGCGACGACACUGCAGCAAUCCAGGGAAUGUUACUUUUUGUCAUUUAAAAGAAAAUAUUAAAAGGCUAAUGUAUAC